rnacentral:rRNA from 1 species
UACGUAGGAGGCAAGCGUUAUCCGGAAUGACUGGGCGUAAAGGGUGCGUAGGUGGUUUGGCAAGUUAGUAGCGUAACCCCGGGGCUCAACCUCGGAACUACUACUAAAACUGUCGGACUUGAGUGCAGGAGGGGCAAUUGGAAUUCCUAGUGUAGCGGUGGAAUGCGUAGAUAUUAGGAGGAACACCAGUGGCGAAGGCGAAUUGCUGGACUGUAACUGACACUGAGGCACGAAAGCGUGGGUAUCGAACAGG